rnacentral:lncRNA from 1 species
UCCUGUCUACAACCAAUUGGGAAGAUAUAGUAUUAAUCAAGCCUUCAUAUUUGGUGUUUGCAUCAUACAUCACUCCUUCUAUAUUGCAAUCCACGAAAUUACCUAUAUAAAAUUACAAAUUAUCAAUCAGCUUCAUAAAUUAGCAGAAUGCAUUUCCUACAUAAAUUAAAUCACACAGUUUUGUAGUUAGCUUGGUAAUUGAUGGUAUACAAACGGGUUUUGUUCUCAAGUAUUUGUCAGACCAACAUUUGCACCCAAAAAAAACUACAUAAUAAAUUUGAGAUGCAUUAUGGUCUUUAUAAAAUCAUUAUUAAUACUAUCAAUUACACCACAUAAAUUAGCCAACUCAAUAUUUCUUUAAACAUGUUAUAUAUAUCAAAUUAGGCAAAUUAAUUCACCAUUAAAUGUACCAAUAUAUUUACAAAUAUGCAUGCUGGCAUAAAAACGACUGACGAGAUCUGAUUUAGUGUCUGAAAAUACAUUUUCACCAAAUCACGUACCACAAUUGGUAACUAUUACUUACCAAAUCACGAACCACAAUUGAUAACUAUCACUUACCAAAUUACAUGGCAAAACAGAACUACCCCAAAGUAUGCAACUCAACAUUUAUUUAAACAUGUUAUAUAUACCAAAUCAGGUAAAUUAUUAAAUCAAUUUGGUGUAAGAAAUUAUUUAAAAAAACACUUAACAAAUCACACACAAAAAACUUACCAAAUCACUUACUGAAUCACACACCACAAUUUCACACUAUCACAUUAUCAAUUACACCAUAUAAUUUACACCAAAUCACAUACCACAAUUUCAUUGGUUUAAUUCGUCCGAACAAACACUACAUAAUAAACUUGAUAUGAAAUUUGGUGUUUAUAUAAAAUAUAAUACACAACAUCAAUUAAAAAAAUCAUCUACACCAUCUUUAAGCAUUAUAACCAACAUAAUAAUUCUUCAAUUCUGAUAGCUAUACUAUGUACACAAAUAUAUUUUUGAAAUUGAUUUUUACACAUGGUCAAAAAAUUUCUAAUUACACAAAAUCACAUACCAUACAUAUUUGAGAAUUAAGGAAUAAAUUUCAUUACCACAACAAUCAUACAAAUAAAUAAACCAAUACACGUACCAGAAUUUUAAAUUGAAAUUGGUCUUUGUAUUUUCUCUAAAAAGUAACAAUAACACGAUAGCACACACCAAAAAAUUAUUGAUUUAUAUUGUUACUAUAAUGCAUGCAACAUACCAAUUAAACCAGAUCACAUAUAAUAAGAAAUUUUCAAAUUAGUUGUUUAUAUACACACAGUGACUUACAGUGGUGUAGUAAUCAAUUAAACAUAAGGUUAUACAAAAAAAAUCAAUGAAUUGACUGUUUAAUAACCACCAAAGUUGAUCUUUUAUACCAACAAAAAAAUAAUAAUUGCAAUUUUUUUUAAUUUAAACCAAAUAAUAUACCAAAACCUAAUAUCAUACCAAAUACGACUACUAAUAUUUAAUGCUUAUUCAACAAUAAAAUAAAAUCCAUCAAAUCGAUUACACAUUCCACUACUAUUAACAAAAUCAUACAAAUUUUAUAUUGCACCACAUAAACGUAGAAUAUAAACCAACGAUUAAUUAUUAAAAAAAAAUUAAAAAAAUGGUGGGAAAAAUCAAAUGUAUUAAGAAUCAACCAUUUUAUAUUCAAAUACCUGAUGAGUCCCAUCGCCCGUUGUGUUGUAUUAGAAAUGAAAAAUUAUUGGCAUCCAUUUUCAAUAUUCGAUCAGAGUAGAUAGAGAGUUUUACUUUUCAUAUAAACCUCUUGUAACGACCUGUUCCCGUCGUUAUAGAAAAGCCAACAGGAGAAAAUUUGGGGUAGAAAAAACUUUCUCAUACUAUUUGGAUUUUCCCAACUUUGUCCAGAUUUGGACGAAAUCGGAGUCAGUGAGGUGUAGAAAAAUCUGGUAACAAUCGGGUGAAUCAUUUAUGAUUUUGAAUACAUGAGUAGUUAGAUAACUCGUUAAAGAAUCCAUACGACUUUACAGAAUUGAAUUCGGGUGAGUAGAACUUCCAAAAUCGAUCUUGGCAUAAAGGGUAUUUUCUAAGCGACAUUAGUUAGAGGUGUGUUGUGAAAUGGGAAACUUGGAAUUCUUGAAAUAGCUCUGUGUCUCGCGUAACCCGUCUUGGUGCUGGGUUUUACCGCUCUGGUGAGGCCGCUAUAGAGGGGUGACGGCCGCUAUGGCGGGCUCGAUGCGUAUUAAAGCCAUUAAUAAACCCCUAAACGACCUCAUUUUGCAGUUUUUGACUUUUAGAGCUAAGGAAUGAACCCCAGGUGACUCCUACUAAUUUUUCACCUUUCUUGAGGCUAAAGGUAAGAUUUGCACUCCUCGAAUCAAUUUUUGAUCCAUAGAACAUAAUAGAAUGGGUGAAUAUUGAUGGUGGAGGGUUUGUUAUGGAUUCUAUGGUUGAAACAACUCUAAAUUGGAUAAUUGGGAUCAUGGGUUUAAUCUAUGGUUCAUAGAAUUGUUAGUAAUUCGGGUAAUUAGUGAUUGUUUAUUGAUUCCCGUAUUAUAUUGAUUGUUUGUAGACCAAAAACAAGCGGAACGAAUCCGGAAAGGGAAAUAUCAAGUUUCUUAGGGUUUCAAGCUUGUUUCAAGGUAGGUGAUGGUUGUGAUUCUAGGAUUGUGUGAUCUAUGUUUGUUUUUGCUUCAUUAUAAACUUGUAUAUGUAUGAAUGUUGCAAUGUUGAUCACACUUGUUGUAAAUGACAUAGAUGAAAGAUGGUUUCCAUGAAAUCAUAACUUAAAUGUAUGAUAUUGAUGAUAUACUUGUGAUUGUGAUUGUGGUGUGUAGAAUGGAUCAGUUGCCACGUUCCGGCAUAACUAACUUGGAUCGGUUGCCACGUUUCGACAUAACUAUGGGAUCGAUUGCCAUGUUUCGAAAUAAAUAUGGGAUCGGAUACCACGUUCUGCUAUGCUAACUAUUUGGGUUUGGGUUCAAUGAGAGGACCAAUGAUUUGAUAUAAAAUGUGAAGUUGUUCGUUGUUCUUAUAUGUUGAUAAUACUGUAUGUGUUGAUAUGUAUGCAUGUGAUUAUAAUGUUGUCUUGACUUGCUUAUGUUGCACUAGUGGGAUAGCCGCGUGAUCCUACCAGUACACUAUGGUUGUGUACUGAUACUACACUUGCUCUUAAUUUUGUUGAGUACAGGGUAUCUUCGAGCGGCUACUGACAGAGCCCGCUUAGGAGAUCAUUGAUCGUUCGAAUUCAAGGGUGAGCCAAUUCUUCCAGGCUGUUAUGAGUUCUCUUUCAUUUAUGUCCACCAUUUCCGGACUUAGACAUUUGUUUUAGUUAGUUCAUUAGUAUAGGGUUUUAUCCCUUCUUGUUUAGACUUGUUGAACUUUAGAUGUUUUGGUACAUUGAUUUUCAGGUUCUAGGUUAUUUCUUCUGCAUUGUUAGUUGUUAGACUUUUGUUAGAGUUUAUGUGAACUCUAUUUAUUUCCUUAGUAUUUAACUUGCUUCCAUAAGUUAAAUGCCUUAGUUUUGUUAAUUGUUUGGUUUAGGUUGUAGUAGUGGUUCUCCCACCCGAGUGUUAGUGUGGGUGCCAAUCACGACGGUUUGGGUCAUGACAAAGUUGGUAUCAGAGCCUAGGUUCGUUGAUCUCGAUAUACCAAAAUGAGUCUAGUAGAAUCUCGUAGAACGGUACGGGGAAACCUUUAUUUUUCGUCGAAAGGCUAUAGGACUUUAAGAAAUCUCUCUAUUUUCUGUUGUCUCCUUUCAUGCUAUGACCUGAUUCCAAUUGGUAUCUGGUGAUUCAAAUUGGUAUCUAACCUCCUUCACUCUUCUGUUCACAGAUAGUUAAUACUAGAUUCAAGGGAGUUAGGCCCGUAGCUCCCAUUAAUGCUCCGACUGAGAAAUCUACAGGAGAGGUCGCAGUUGAGGCAGGGGUAGAGGAAGAGCUAGGGGUAGAGGCCGUGGAAGAGUAGCACUCGCUAGAAAUGGAGCUCUUAUUGAGAAUUCUAUUGUGAAUGAGAACCCUCCUGCGCAUCAUAAAAAUAUUGAAGAGGAGAAUUUUGAUGUUGAGGAUGUGGGACAAGAGGAAGAGGUGCAGGCUGAGACUACCGAUGUUCCCGCCAUAGACCCAGUGAUAGCUCGACAGAUCAUGUCAUUCUUGAAAAGGUUGGUUGGUCUUGGAGUGCUUCCUUCUGCUCAAGAAACUCAUGCUCCUACUAAUACUCCUGUAGCUAGCACUGCGCCCAAAGUGGGUGGGACUGGAGUUAAUGAUGCUUUCUUCCAUCCUUUGUUGGGUUCUGUUAUGACUGAUAAUGAGCAUGAAAUGUUGACUAUGUUUUUGAAAGUAAAUCCUCCUGUGUUUCUUUGUUCUGAGAGUGAGGAUGCUUAUGAGUUCAUAUUAGAUUGCUAUGAGAGGCUUCAUAAGUUGGGAAUUGUCCAACAACAUGGGGUUGAGUUUGUGUCCUUUCAACUUCAAGGUGAGGCUAAGCGGUGGAGAGCUUACAUGGAAUGCAAAUCUUCUACUUUACCUCCACUUACAUGAACCCAGUUUCAUGCUCUGUUCUUAGAGAAAUAUGUGCCUAGGACUUUGAGGGAUCGCAAGAAGGAUGAGUUCAUUGCUUUGGAGCAAGAUGGUAUGACUGUGGCUGCUUAUGGGGCCAAGUUCCAUUCUUUUUCUAGAUAUGCUACUCAAUUGGUGACUACUGAGGAAGAGAGAAUCCAAUUAUUUAUUAGGAGAUUAAAUUAUGAGUUGCAAGUAUUAUCUAUUUAUAUGACUUCUGCAAGAAGGGACUUCGAUGAGGUAACAGACUAUGUUAAGAAAGUGGAGGGAGUGAGGUGAGACGAUCAAGCUAAAGCAUGGGCAAAAAGGGCCAAGAACUCAGGUAACUUUCAAGGUUUUUAUUCCAAGGGGUCCGGAAGGCCAACGCUUGCAGCCAAGACAAUUCAGUCAGCUAUGCCCGCAUUUAUAGGUAGUUACUCGGAAACUCCAUCUCAUACUUUUCAGAAUACCCAAGGAGCCACAUCUUCGACGGGCGGCAUACCAUCUUUUGAUCGUACUUGUUACAACUAUGGAGAACCUGUGCAUAUGAGGAGAGAUUGUCCCCACCCACGUGUGUUAGAUUUCGCGCAGCAGCAGUCGUACCCGCGGGGAAUGGUAAUAAUGGUAGAGGACAUCCACAAGGUGGGCGAGGAGGUAAUCAACGAGGCCGUGGAGGUAGAGCAAUAUGGUAAUGAAUGCAGAGUUAAUGUGCAACCAGGCAGAGAAGUGGUUCGUCAAGAUGAUACGGCUCAGUGUUAUGCCUUUCCGAGCAAGAAUGAGGCAGAGGCGUCUGACGCGGUGAUCACAGGUACUAUUCUUGUCUGUGACCGGAUGGAUAGUGUGUUAUUUGAUAUGGGUUCUACCUAUUCUUAUGUAUCUGUGAAAUUUUCCUCAAAGUUUGAUAUGAUUUGUGAUAUACUUGAUGCCCCUAUCCAUGUUUCUACCACAGUUGGAGAGUCAGUCAUAGUUAUCCAUGUCUAUCGUGCUUGUCCUCUUUUGUUUAUGGGUUUUCAGACUUGGGCUGAUUUUGUGAUUUUGGAUAUGACUGACUUUGACAUAAUCUUGGGUAUGACUUGGUUGUCCCCCUAUUAUGUCAUACUUAAUUGUAAUACUAAGUCCGUAACCCUAGAAAUUCUAGGAAGGGAAAAAAUUAGAGUGGGAAGGGGUGUACAAGCCUAAGCGAAAUAAGAUCAUAUCCUCCAUUCGGGCUAAGAAAUUAAUAGGGCAGGGCUGUUUGGCUUAUCUGGUUCAUAUUAGAGAUGUUGAGAUUGAGGCUCCAUCCAUUGGGUCUAUACCUGUGGAGUUGUAAUUUAUAGAAGUGUGUCCUAAUGAUUUGCCUGGCAUGCCUCCGGAUAGAGAUAUAGAUUUUUGCAUUGAUUUAGAGCCUGGUACGCGUCCCAUUUCUAUCUCUCCAUAUCGCAUGGCUCCGGCAAAUUUAAGAAAGCUUAAGGCUCAAAUCUAAGAACUUCUUGAUAAAUCAUUUAUUCUCCCUAGUGCUUCCCCAUGAGGUGCUCCAGUUUUGUUGUUAAGAAAAAGGAUGGUAGUAUCAGAAUGUGUAUAGAUUAUCGGCAAUUGAAUAAGGUAACUAUUCGAAAUAAGUAUCCAUUGCCUCGAAUAGACGAACCUUUUGACCAAUUGCAAGGUGCAUCAAUUUUCUCUAAGAUCGAUCUAAGGUUUGGCUACCAUCAUUUGAAAAUUAGGCCUGAGGAUGUGCCCAAGAUGUCGUUUAGAACUCGCUAUGGGCACUAUGAGUUUUUUGUUAUGUCUUUUGGUUUGACCAAUAAGCCUGCAUCUUUUAUGAGUUUAUUGAAUGAGGCGUUCAAGCCAUUUCUUGAUCUUUCGUCAUAUUCUUUAUUGAUGGUAUCUUGGUCUAUUCAAAAAGUGAGGAAGAGCAUGCCAACCAUCUUCGUAGUGUUUUGGGUGUUCUUGGAAAAGCAAAAGCUAUAUGCUAAAUUUUCUAAGUGUGAAUUUUGGUUGAAAUCAGUUGCAUUUUUGGGGCAUGUAGUUUCAAAAGAAGGGGUAAUGGUAGAUCCCCAAAAGAUUGUGGCUGUUAAGAAUUGGGUUAGGCCUAGCUCUGUGACGGAAGUUAGGAGUUUUGUUGGGCACGCUAGCUAGUAUCGUCGAUUUGUGAAGAACUUUGCUGCUAUCAUUGCAUUUUUGGGGCAUGUAGUUUCAAAAGAAGGGGUAAUGGUAGAUCCCCAAAAGAUUGUGGCUAUCCCCAAAAGAUUGAGGCGGUUAAGAAUUGAGUUAGGCUUAACUCUGUGAUGGAAUUCAGGAGUUUUAUUGGGCUCGCUAGCUAUUAUCGUCGAUAUGUGAACAACUUUUCUUCUAUCACCACUCACUUGACUAAUUUGACAAAAAAUGAGAUAUCAUUUGAAUGGACUGCAAAAUGUGAGGAGAGCUUUCAAAAGCUCAAGACUCUUUUAACCACCGCACCUAUUCUAGUAUUACUGGUUGAAGGUAAAUAUUUUACUGUUUAUUGUGAUGCUUCACAUUCUGGUUUAGGUGUUGUGUUACUGCAAGAUAAGAAUGUUAUAACUUAUGUCUCGCAUCAAUUGAAGGUGCAUAAGAGGAUUACCCAACACAUGAUUUAGAGUUGGCAGCGAUAGUGUUUGCUCUUAAGAUAUGGCGGCAUUACAUCUAUGGUGUUAAGUUUGAAGUGUUUACCGAUCAUCGUAGUUUGCAGCAUCUGUUCACUCGAAAGGAUCUGAAUUUGAGGCAGCGAAGGUCGAUGGAGUUACUUAAGGAUUAUGAUGUGACCAUUCAAUACCAUCCGGGAAAGGCUAAUGUGGUGGUAGACACUUUGAGUCGAAAAACAGUGAGUAUGGGUAGUUUACCUUGCUUGAAUGUAUCCAAGCGACCUUUGGCUAAAGAAAUUCAAACCUUAGAGUCUAAGUUCAUGCAAUUGGGCAUCUCAGAAAGAGGUGGGGUGUGGGGUGUUAGCUAGUAUUGAAGUAAGGGACACAAUUAUUGAGGAGAUCAAGGCCAAACAAUUUGAUGAUGAGAUUUUGGAGGAGCUUAGGAAGAAGACUGCGAAAGGUAAGGCACAAGAUACCACUCUUGAUGUGAAUGGUGUGCUACCACAAGAUACCACUCUUGAUGUGGAUGAUGUGCUAGCACAAGAUACCACUCUUGAUGUGGAUAGUGUGCUAAGUUUUAAAGAGAGAAUAUGUGUUCUUAGAGUAGAUGACUUGAUUGAGGAAUUAUUGGCAGAGUCUCAUGGUUCGCGAUAUUCUAUUCAUUCGGGUGUGACCAAGAUGUAUCGAGAUUUGAAGUGAAUUUAUUGUUGGCCGGGAAUGAAAAAGGAUAUAGCGGAGUUUGUGGUGAAGUGUCAAAAUUGUCAACAAGUGAAGUAUGAACAUCAAAGGCCUGUAGGUUUACUUCAAAGAAUGUCGAUUCCGGAAUGCAAGUGGAAAAGAAUAGCCAUGAAUUUUGUGUUGGUCUUCCCAAGACUUUGGGGAAAUUUGAUUCUAUUUGGGUAGUGGUUGAUAGAUUGACCAAGUCGGCCCAUUUUAUUCUGGUAAGAAUUGAGUAUAAUGCCGAACAAUUGGCUAAAGUUUAUGUGAAAGAGAUAGUGAGGUUGCAUGUGGUGCUCCUCUUUAUCAUCUCAGAUCGUGGUACCCAAUUCACAUCCAAGUUUUGGAGGAAAUUACAUGAUGAAUUGGGAACCCAACUCACUUUUAGUACAACCUUCCAUCCACAGACAGACGGACAGUCAGAGAGGACUAUUCAAGUGUUAGAAGACAUGUCGAGGGCAUGUGUGAUUGAUUUUGGAGGGCAUUGGGAUAAUUUCUUACCUUUGUGUGAAUUUUCUUAUAAUAAUAUUUAUCACUGUAGCAUAGAUAUGACACCAUUUGAGGCAUUAUAUGUGAGGGGAUGUAGAUCACCUAUAGGAUGGUUUGAGGCUGGCGAUGUGAAACCUUUGGGGGUUGAUUUAGUGAAGGAUGCUCAAGAUAAGGUGAGGAGUAUUCAAGCUAAACUUUUAGUAGCCUAGAGUAGACAAAAGAAGUAUACAGAUCAUAAGGUAAGAGACAAUUCAAUCGGGUGAAAAUGUUCUUCUUAAGGUAUCACCCAUGAAAGAGGUGAUGAGAUUCGGUAAGAAGGGUAAGCUAAGUCCUAGAUACAUUGGUCCAUUUGAAAUUCUUGAAUGUAUGGGACCGGUAGCGUAUACAUUGGCUUUACCUCCUAAUUUAUCAAGUGUUCAUCUGGUAUUUCAUGUGUCCAUGUUGAAAAGGUAUCAUGGUGAAGGGAUUAUAUCAUUAUGUAGGACACAAUUGUGUUAGACAAGGACCUCUAAUAUGAGGAGGAACCGAUUGCAAUUCUUGAUCGUGAUGUGUGCAAGUUGAGGACCAAGGAGAUUAAGUCAGUAAAAGUACAAUGGAAACAUCGUCCAGUUGAGGAAGCUACUUGGGAAGCCGAGAGGGACAUACGAGACAAGUAUCCCCAAUUGUUCGUCGAUUCAGGUACUACUUCAUCCCUUCCUUAUCAUAUUUUCCCUAGGUUUUGUCUCUCGGGGAUGAGUGAUGGGUAAAUUGGUACCUAUUGUAACGACCUAUUCCAGUCGUUAUAGAAAAGCCAACGGGGGAAAAUUUGGGCCAGGAAGAACUUUUUCGUAGUAUUUGGAUUUUCCCAACUUUGUCCAGAUUUGGACGAUAUCAGAGUCAUUGAGGUGUAGUGAAAUCUGGUAACAAUCGGGUGAGUCAUUUAAGAUUUUGAUUACUAGAAUAGUUAGAUAACUCGUUAAAGAAUCCAUACGACUUUACAGAAUUGAAUUCGGGUGAGUAGAACUCCCAAAAUUGAUCUUGGCGUAAAGGGUAUUUUCUAAGCGACAUUAGUUAGAGGUGUGUUGUGAAAUGGGAAUCUUGAAAUUAUUGAAAUAGCUCUCUGACUCGCGUAGCCCACCUUGGCGCUACAUUUUGCCUCUCUGGCGGGGCCACUACAGCGGGGUGACGGCCUUUAUGGCGGGCUCGACACUAAUAAAAACUCGUUAAUAAACCCCUAAACGACCUCAUUAUGCACUUUUCGACUUUUAGAGCUAAGGAACAAACCCCAGGUGACUCCUACUCAUUUUUCACCAUUCUUGAGGCUAAAGGUAAGCUUUUCACUCCCCGAAUCCGCUUUUUCGAUCCAUAGAAUGUAAUAGAAUGGGUGAAUAUUGAUGGAGGAGGGUUUGGUUAUGGAUCCUAUGGUGGAAACAACCCUAAAUUUUAUAAUUGGGAUCAUGAGUUUGAUCUAGGGUUCAUAGAAUUGAUAGUAAUUCGGGUAAUUAGUGAUUGUUUAUUGAUUCCCAUAUUAUAUUGAUUGUUUGUAACCAAGAACAAGCAGAACGAAUCUGGAAACAGAAGGAUCAAGUUUCUUAGGGUUUCAAGCCUUUUUCGAGGUAGGUGAUGGUUGUGAUUCUAUGAUUGUAUGAUGAAUGCUUGUUCUUGCUUCAUUAUGAUACUUAUAUAUAUAUGAAUGCUGCAAUGUUGAUCACACUUGUUGUAAAUGAGAUAGAUGAAUGAUGGUUGCCAUGAAAUAAUGACUUAAAUGUAUGAUCUGGAUGAUAUACUUCUGAUUGUGAUUGUGGUGUGUUGAAUGGAUCAGUUGCCACGUUCCGGCAUAACUAAGGGAUCGGUUGCCACGUUCCGGCAUAAUUAUGGGAUCGGAUACCACGUUCCGGUAGGCUAACUGUUUGGGUUUGGGUUCAAUGAGAGGACCAAUGAUUUGAUAUAAAAUGUGAAGUUGUUCGUUGUUCGUAUAUGUUGAUAAUAUUGUAUGUGUUGAUAUGUAUGCAUGUGAUUAUAAUGUUGUCUUAACUUACUUAUGUAGCACUAGUGGGAUAGCUGCGUUAUCCUACCAGUACACUGUGGUUGUGUACUGAUACUGCACUUGCUCUUAUUUUUGUUAAGUACAGGGCAUCUUCAAGCGGCUACUGACAGACCUCGCUUAGGAGAUCAAUGAUCGUUCAAAGUCAAGGGUGAGCCAAUUUUUCCGGACUUCCAUGAGUUCUCUUUCGUCUAUGACCACUAUUUCCAGACUUUGACAUUUGUUUUAGUUAGUUCAUUAGUAUGGGGUUGUAUCCCUUCCUGUUUUUGACUUGUUGAACUUUAGAUGUUUUGGUACAUUGACUUUCAGGUUCUAGGUUAUUUCUUCCGCAUAGUUAGUUGUUAGACUUUUGUUAGAGUUUAUGAGAACUCUAUUUAUUUCCUUAGUAUUUAACUUACUUCCGUAAUUUAAAUGCCUUAGUUUUGGUUAGUUUCUUGGUUUGGGUUGUAGUAGUGGUUCUCCCACUGGAGUGUUAGUGUGGGUGUCAAUCACGACGGUCUGGGUUGUGACACCUCUCUUCAUGGGAGAGCAUAUUUGAAAAAUCUGAGUAAAUCAGGGAAGGUGAAAUAAUCAUAGAAAAUUAAGGGAUAUGUGUUAGACGUGGCUAAUAUUUCUGCGUUUUUUAAAAAGAAAUCUAAUUUUUUUAAAUAAUUAUUUCUAUAUAAGUGAAGAAGGUGAUGUUAUAUAGUAGUAAUUAAGGUAUUUAAGUGUUGUAUACUUAAGUUUUUUACCCAAGACAAAUAACACUAUAGGAGCAAACCUAAAAAUAAUAUACAGUUUAUAAUGAUUUGAACCAAACAAUACUACUCCCAAAAAUAAUUAAUCAAGGGAAGGAAAGAAUUUGUCAUUGAUAGUCAAGUCUUUAAGUCACAAAAAAACUUUUCAAGCUAGAUUAAAGAAAACCACUCAAAAAUAUUAAUCAAAUAUGCCUUGCAUGGGCCGAAGUAUACAAUUACUACAAAUAUAAGCAUAUUCCAUGGUUACCUUAAGGAAAUAUGGCAUUGUACUGGACAAAUAAAAAGAUUGAACUAAAGCAGGUUAUAUUAGACAUGAAUCACACAUAAAUUAUAUUGCUAGAUCGCUAACAAGUACAAGCUUUUAAGAGAAAUGGGUAGUUCAUACCCAAUUUCAAUCUUCACAAUAACAGAAUCUUAGGAAGAAAAGAAGAUGGUCAUCAAAUUCAUGGAGAUGAUCUAGACAUGGGUUUCGAGAUACACAAGUAAUGUAAACUGUAAGGUUAAUUACUAUGAGAUAGCAUAAAAAAUGUCUUGCCUAAGAUCAUAGCAAAUGGCCGAGUCUGUAUAAUCUUAAUUUAGACAAAAGUUAAAUGGGAAAAAUCAUUAGAACUCAAUCAACAUGCAUGCCGAUAGUUCGAUUGACAAGGGUAAUAGAGAAGAUAUUGGCCACUGAACAGCAACAUCAGCUCAUUCAAGUGGUGAUUCAAGCGAGAAAUUUAAACAUCUAUAUAGACGUAAACCUAAAUCAAUAGAGAUAAAGGUUGAAAACUCAAAAUAUACUUAUUAAAGGAAAACUAACAGCCUACAUCCUAACAUAGAAAUAUAGAAACAAAGAAAAAUAAGAAGUCUUUCACAUUUAAGAAAACAAGAACCAAAACUGCAAGUGAGGUAAAAUACCAAUCAAUCUGAACACAUGAUAACUAAAACGCGAUUUGAGAAUGCAUAAAUUGAAAAUUUAGAACAACCAGGAUUCAAACGGAACAAAACUAGGAUAGUAAUUUACCUCUUUUUGGGCAGUGACUGAGACGACGAGCUGAAGCAAGCUAUACCACCACCACCACAAGUGAGUCUAGGACAAAUUCUCGUAAGUAGUGAAUAAAAGGGAAACCAAAAGCUAAACUCCAAGUUUGUAGUUUUCUAUUCUAUUUCUCAUGUAUUUCUGAGUAUGUAUACAUUGCCUCUAUAUACUGUCUCUAGCCUUUGUUCUAUGUUUUAUAUCCCAACCACCUCAAUCUUAAAGACGACAAGGUAUAUAUAGGAUAAGAACUAGG